rnacentral:lncRNA from 1 species
UGACUAUUCUUAUACCUCUAUCUUUACUUUAGCACAUACACUUGUGUGUUUUAUUUUUAAUUAGACAAAAAAAUCUUAAAACACCCAAUUCACCCCCCUCUUGGGUGACCAUCUCUGGGCAACAAGUGGUAUCAGAGCGGGUGCUCUGUGUAUUUCUUGAAGACCUAACCGUCUUAGCCAAAGAUCUAGAUGGCAACACCCUUCAACAAUGUUCCUGCUGAGGGGCAGGCAACCAAUAGACCUCCACUCUUCA